rnacentral:rRNA from 1 species
AUUGAACGCUGGCGGCAGGCCUAACACAUGCAAGUCGAGCGAGCGGCGGACGGGUGAGUAAUGUAUGGGGACUGCCCGAUAGAGGGGGAUAACUACUGGAAACGGUGGCUAAUACCGCAUAAUAUCGGAUAACCCAGAUGGGAUUAGCUAGUAGGUGGGGUAACGGCUUACCUAGGCGCCGAUCCCUAGCUGGUCUGAGAGGAUUAUCAGCCACACUGUGACUGAGACACGGCCCAGACUCCUACGGAGGCAGCAGUGGGGAAUAUUGCACAAUUGGCGCAAGCCUGAUGCAGCCAUGCCGCGUGUAUGAAGUAGGCCUUCGGGUUGUAAAGUACUGUCAGUCGGGAGGCGUUACCGACAGAAGAAGCACCGGCUAACUCCGUGCCAGCAGCCGCGGUAAUUC